AUUAAAUCACAUUCAUAAUAUUUAAUUCAUGUUUAGUACACAAUGCAUAUACACAAUUGCACUCUUCUAUUCAUCACAAACUGCCAUUCAUCCAUACAUUCAUUCAACAUAUAUAAAGAUUCAUUUGUUUUCUUCGCUCAAGAUAGCUACAACCAUCAAGGAAAUACAUCAGUUUGACAUACAAGACAAGUUGUUGCAAAAUUUGAUGGCUAAGAUCCUAAGAGACCAAUUGUUCGAUCACUGACUACUACAAAUUUGAUGGCAGAGACCAAUUCUUCGAUCACCAAGCCAACAUGAACUUUUGUAUGAACAAAAGGUGUCAACCAUGUUAUCAACAAAAGCGAUCACGGAGCAUCUUAGAUCAACUUGUGGACUUGCUAUUUUCUGCCAUUUGUCCCUGCAAAAGAACUUACUGCCUUGCUAGAUAAAAGCACCAAAUAGUCAUAAAUAGAAAAACCUUUACACACUCUACAGAGUAAUAAAUCAAUCAUGGCAUGCCACCUUUGAAGAAACCAAUAGAGCUCUAUCGCCAGGUAUAACAACAGCAACAAGGGACAUACUUGGUCAAGCUUGAUGUAAAGUAUCCAAUAGUUUCUGCAUAAGGUAAAACAAAUCUGGGUGUAAGCUGGCACAUAUACCGACAUAAACAUUAACAUGAAAAAUUUAUUUGUAAUCUAAAUAAGUAGCGUAGGAUCCUAAAUAUAUACCAGGAUAGUUUAGCAAUGCAAAUAAUAUAGCUGUCUGAAUUACCAUCGUCGGCCAGCAGUUCAAGUAUGGUAAUAAUACAAUGGCAUUCCUGACAUGACUCGUGGCCCUAUUUUGGAAGGUUAAAUAUGUAAAUGGCAAGCAAACAUACAAGGAACUGGGAAAGUAUCAAUGCAUUGUUUCUUUUGUAGUAUCAUGUCCGAAUAGAGAUACUAAUUUUUGGACAGCAAACUUGAGGUGGUCGCUGCUCUCAAACUGCCCAGUAAAAAUACACAAAUAAAUACUCUCUAGAAAGCUUAAGAAGUACACUAUAACUUCUAUUUGGAGACUAAGUCAAAAUUCAACGUGUAUCAAACCGAUAUUUAACCCAAAUCUUACUACACCAUAACUAUUACGAGGUGAUUGAACUGCUUUUUGAAACUGCAAUAAACGCUGGAGAUGAACAUCUUCUAGCAAGCAACAAAAUUGCCAUACCAGCAGAUACAAACAGAUGUUGCAUCCUAAUCCACCCACUAUAGCCACAAUGUUGUAGUGACCUAAACAAACUGGUACUGGUGUACUUCCGUUCUUAGUGUAACUGUAGAAUAUAGUAGGCUGACACAAAUAGGAUGUGGUCUGGCUAAAACAACAACUUUUAAACCGUCAGCAUAUCUUAUUUGGUUACCUAGAAAAUUUUCAAGUUGUUACCCCUGAGCAUUUUCCUGUCAGCAAGUUCAGUAGCUCAACUGAACAAUUAUGUUGGAAUUGAGAAUAAAAUCAUAUAUAGAAGCUCCCUUUGUACCUCUGAAUAUAUAAGGUGUAGUAGAUUAGAAACAAAUUACCUUAUCUUUGUGGCUAGAUCUUUAUCUGUACUAGCUUGAAAAAGCAUGGCAUAUAAAAAAGGAGAUUCCAAAAGAAUGUUGGGCAGGAAAAUAAAGUUCCAUCUUUUUCCUCAGGCGAUAACACAGAGUAGUUUUGCUAGCAUUAGUUCCAUACUUCCAUGAUAGUUGUUCUAGAAGUGCACAAUGAUGCUUUGCUAGACUGAAAAGAAACAACACUUUCUUAGUUCACUUGCAUAGUACUAAAUGCAGAAUCAAAUUGGCAGCAAGCAUGCAGCAUCAACAUUGCUACAAAGGUUGCUUUGAGAAGUAAUAGAAGAGCCUUAACAUUACCAGCCAUGGAAUAAACAUUUUGUCUGAAAACAAUGAAUGAUAAAUAAUUACGCGACCAUCUGAUUCAGGUGCUUAUGAUGCAUAAUGCCACCUCACCCUUGCCAGCCUUGGCAUGCCCACCGUAUUUGUCCAAAGAACAAAAUGAAAAUGUUUGUCCAUAAUGGUUUUUAAAUGGUUCCUUUCUUGCAUGAUUGAAAUACGGAUUCAAAGGGAUCGCCAUCGCAUCUUCAAAAACAUGACUGGUGCAUAUGUUGUAAAUAUACUUAUUCUAUUUCUUGUUGACUUAAUGAUCUCAAUUAGGUGGUACAGCUUCUAGUGUUGUUGUUAGAGCUUUAAUGUUUUUGUUAGAUAAAAUUUGGGUCUAGAACGUGCAGGUUUAGUGAAAAUUGUCUAACGCAGUUUUUGGAUGCUUUCAGUGAGUACUGGAUUGCAGAGUAGAACUUUUUUUUCAGCAAAAUACAGAGUAUGAUUAUCUUUUUGAGCAAUAUACAGAGUACAUUAUAGACUACAGACUGAACAUGGAUGAGUACUUAACUAGGAAAUGUAAUGUUCGCACUGGUGGUUUAUGCAAAACCAUAAAAGUGUGUGAUCACAUGCAAAACAGAGAUAAAAACAUGGGGUUUUGCAUAAAACGAUCAGGCUUUGCAGCCUUGACACAUCCAAUGGUCCAGGUGGCCGGAUUGCAUAUCUUAUGUGAAGCCCAAAAAUCACGCUAGUCUCCCCCAGGAAGUUUGAGACUAAAAAAGGGCUUCUAGCCAUAAUGAACCAAUUGUCGAUACACAUCAUGAUUGUGCUAUAUUUCUUUAGCUGAGCAAAUCCAAGCAGUACAUACCUCGGGCAUUAGCACCCAGCAUGGUUGGGGAUCCUUGCAGGCUGCAAAGGGAAAUAGGAAGAUUGAGACCCAAUCAUUUCAACGGUAGUAGUAAUUAGUAAAUAGUGAAACCUGAGACUAGAUGCUAGAUAUAAAUGUGAUAAGAGAAGGGAGAGGCCUCAGAGGUUGAGCUCAGCUACAAGCAUACAGUCCACAAGCUCCAGAACAUCCCCAAAAAUAGUCAAACCUCAUUAAAGUUGACAUCAGAUGCAAAGUUCUACCUAUGAGCAGAAAGCUAGCCUGAACUAAAACCAGUAACAUGUUUCUAGAUAGGCACGACACCCAUGGAAGAGCAAGUGACAUAUAACGAAAUCUCGUUGAAUCCACAAAACACCCAGGCCAAGACAUGGUGGACAAAUCUACUAAUCAUCGUGCACAGUCUUUUAGAAAGCAUUCUCUGAAACAGAAGCUGUUGCAGAAACAGAAGCUGUUGCAGAACACAUCCCAAAACAACAACAAGAAAAACAACAUUAAAAUAACAUGACGGUUCUAAUCAAGAACGAAGAGUUGCAAGUUGUAACAGAUCUAAGUAAAUAAAAAGUGUAGAUGGGACUGUAAGAAUUACGUAAACAUAUAAUAACAUAGCAUGUAACACUAGUCAGUAAAAUAUAUAUACUUCAAUCUGUCCAGAAAUCAACUAAAUACUUAAUUUACCCUAACCGUAUAAUGAGAGAUGGAUGAUUAGUACUCUAAAAUCUCCAAUCUCAAAUAGACUGACAUGAUCUUGUUCAGAUAAUCGAUGAACCAAAAAGAUUUCAGGGGCAAUCACAUUCAUGGACAAACGAGAAAUAACAUAUGAAGCAGAAAAGAAAAGGAUGGAUCUGUUUUCAAGCUUACCUGCAGGGGCUGAAUUUUGGGGCCCUCACUGGUGGUGCAAAAGGGAUGGCGGGGCAGAACCUCUGAAUGCAGAGGGCAGGGUGGCUCCUCAGUUGCGGACAGCGUCACCGUGGGUUAGAUCGAACCUUCAGGUGGCACUGCAGGUAGUCAGAGAAGCAGAGGCAUGAGCACAU
rnacentral:lncRNA from 1 species